CCCGCCAAAGAUUAAUAUAACCGAUAGAAUCCUGCGCAAGUGCAGUUGCGCAUAACAAGCGUAGUAUUCAUUCUUCUUCCAGUCAAGACGCGAGGAUCAGGUUAGGCAGGUCGGAUUGACAGUAGAGAGCGGAAACGGUAUUUUGUUGGAACUUGUAAAUGAAGGUUAACUUUGUCGCGAACUUAGUGAAGUCUGUGGACAAGAUCGAAGGCAAUGCCACAGCAAAACUGUCAACAAGAUCUCCGUAUUGGUUUACAAGUCUCGCGGUGAAUUAACCAGGGACAAACAUGGCUCGCGUUCCGGCAGACGUGUGUUUUUCUUCGUGGUGAACCUACCUCUUUCUCUCUCGUUCCUUGUCCCUGCCUCUGUUUCGCCAGGCAGGGAUUCUCAACUUCGGGAGUGGUAAUAUUCACGCAAGUACGUAAUGCAUACACCCAUUGUAAUGUGCGUAUCAUACGGCUUAACAUAUAUUAAUAUACACACGGUAAGGGAAGAGGAGCUUCCCUCUUGUUAGUAUGCAAGUGCCGUUUCGAUGCCCCUUACGUGGCCUUAUUUGCACUCGUGUACAAUCGGCGCGCGAAACGAAUCAAAAUGACCGUUCUCCUUUUCGCAUGAUUUUUUUUUGGAAUAUAUGCCUAACCCAUGUAAGUACGUUUUAAUUUUCAAUCAUUCGCAGUAAAAUAUUACGUGUCCUUGUGUAUUUCUCUUAUUCUUGUUCAUCGUGAAUGUGUGUGUGUGCGUGUAACGGUGCAGUAAAUGGCGGAGGAUGUAAAAGGGCUUUCCUAGUCUACGAUGUGCCAGCAGAGAAUUAUCGGUAUUGUCGUUUCCCUGACAUAACCGCCGUUACUUCCCCUCGUUCGUAGUUUCAGAAGGAGAACGUGAAAGAGGGAUAAUGGUUCAAUCGAGAGGGAAGUAGAAUCCUGCCGUCAUCCUGGCGCGUGGCAAACCGGGCCAAAGGCCUGGAUCCUCGUCCUCCUCGUCCUCGUCCACGGAGAGGUUGCAAAGGAUGCCAGGACCGGCACAAGAGAGGCCCCGUGCUCAACGACUAACCGAUAUCGAGCCUCAAACUGCGAAAUACACCAAUCAGCUCUGGCAGCAACAUGAGCAGUAUAGCAAGGUUUCCAAAAUUGGACGAGUGUGCCCACUUUCAUUACGAACAUGUUGAACUCAGUUCUUUGGAGGUCUCGCUUAGCGAGGGUAGCAACGAUUCGGACAGCUACGCGGUCAGAGUGACAUCGGGGGACGCGUGCUGGACGUUGCAACGAUCGUACGACAAUUUCGUCAUGUUCGACAAGCAGUUGCACCGGUGCAUAUUCGACAGGAAGUUCUCCUCGUUGACCAAACUCCCGGAUACACGGGCGAAAAACACGUGCGAUAUACUGAGGGACUAUUUGAACAGGUUCUCCCAGCUGAAUCACGAAGGCCUGAAUUGCGGCCCUGUGCUAAAUUGGUUGCAGCUAGACAACAGGGGAAGAAGAAUCCUCGUCCCAGAGUCCGAUUCCUGCCCCAUCAACACCCCCGCUGUAGCCGCUGCCUAUGCUGUUAGACCUUACGUGGCACAGGCGCCGGACGAGAUCUCGUUUCAGGUCGGAGAUAUGAUUUCGGUGAUAGAUAUGCCCCCUCCAGGGGAGAGUACGUGGUGGCGUGGGAAGCACGGAUUCGCGGUCGGUUUCUUCCCGGCCGAGUGCGUGGCUGUGAUCGGGGACAAGGUGCCGCGGCAUCUCACCGUGUCCACGACAGUUAGGUCAAAGUUGCCGGUGAAACCGGUGCUGAGAAAGCACGGCAAGCUAAUCGCCUUUUUCAGAUCGUUUAUACUCAAUAGACCGUCUAGAAGACGAUUGAAGCAGUCAGGAAUUCUGAAGGAACGUGUGUUUGGUUGUGAUCUAGGGGAACAUCUUUUAAAUUCUGGCCAAGAUGUGCCCACCGUUUUGACGUGCUGCGCCGAAUUCAUCGAGAACCACGGCCUGGUGGACGGCAUAUACCGUCUGAGCGGGGUGACGUCGAACAUUCAGAGACUAAGAAACGCGUUCGACGAGGAUCGUGUCCCUGCGUUGCAUUCCGACGAGAGUAUCCUGCAAGACAUACAUUCAGUGGCUUCGUUGUUGAAAAUGUACUUCAGAGAGCUGCCGAACCCGCUCUGCACGUACCAGCUUUAUUCCACUUUCGUUAGCGCGGUCCAAGCUAGCACCGAUGCGGAAAGAUUGAGGCGGAUGAGGGACACCGUUAGAAAAUUACCACCACCGCACUACAGAACGUUGGAAUACCUUAUGCGACAUUUGGUGAGAGUCGCAGCUCGAGGAGCGGAGACUGGUAUGACGCCUCGUAACGUUGCCAUAGUUUGGGCCCCGAAUCUGUUGAGAUGCAAGGAAUUGGAGGUCGGGGGCGUGGCAGCGUUGCAAGGGGUCGGUGUGCAGGCCGUGGUCACGGAAUUUUUGGUCUGUUACGCGGAGUUAAUUUUCGGUGACGGGCCGGUCGGUAGGCCGAAAUCGUUGGCCAUCACAACCCCGGCUAGGUUGCUCAGUUUGGAAGAGGCUCGAAAUCGUAGCCUGAGAGGUGAGCCCGAUUACGUGGAGGUGGGCGCUGGUCCAGCCGGGUUGCCGUUGCAUUACCACACGGUCAUUGAAUUGCCGCGAAAGAGAAACGGGUCGAAACGUUCGCCCUCGUUGAACUGGAGAGCUUUGUUCGGUCGAGGUGGUUUGGGUGCCAGGGGGAAGGCGAGGCAGGUUGGCACGCCACCUCAAACAGAAACGGUGCCAAGUUCCUUAAACUCCUUACGACGAUUAAGACCAGUGAAAAGCGCGGACAGUUUGGACGGUGAGGACAGUUUAGGUCCUCUGCUGGGACCGCCACCAGCUAGACCUUGCGGCCACAGUCGAUCAGUUUCGCAUGAUUCCUAUUUCGAUCAUUUAGCAGACGCGCCGAAUACAGCGUCGCCGUUGGAUUUGUCGGAAAUACAGCUUAACUUCGACUUGGAGGAGCGGGAAAUGAGAAUGUUCUCGGAGGAGGAGAGUGGGGGGGUUGCAUCGGUGGAAGCAUCCCCUAGACGGCAAAGAACGGAAGGGGCGCAGAACAUAGCCGUUACGGGUGGAUCCAAGAGGAAGAGGUCGCGGUUAGAGGAAAGACUGCAAUGCGACGUCGAGUUGCGCUUCAUUGAUAGCCAAAGUCCUGAUCAGGUGAUGGUAUCUGCAGAUAUUCAUAGCAUGGACACUCCAUCCCCUUUGCCAACGCCAGGCUACCUACCCUUAUUAUCCGAAGCUUCAACCCCGCUCACCCCCGCUACUCUACACGGGACACCGCAUUCUACGUCACCCGUACCAGCCAACAGUCCUAGGAUAAGUUUCCGAAGUUUCACAUUACCUUUAGAGAUCGACGACGAACAGAGUAACAAAGUGAACAGAACUAGCGUGUCUUCCGACAAAUCAUCCGACCCUAGUCAUAGGUUAUCCGUAAACUUAGAAGGGCAGAGCAAUGGUAAAUCCUGCGAGAGGAUAAUGACGUACGACAAGCGCAUAGAUCUGUACGACGACAAAGAGUCUUCCAAGGCUCAAAAGACUUCGAAGGAGACGACAAGCUUGGUUGUAUCGGACGUGGUCGACCAAGAAAUGAUGCCUUGCGAGAGGCUAAUGUCUCGUCCCAGCGAGAUUGAUUCUGGUAAAGCAACCACGUCCAUUUGUGAAGAUAUGGAAAAUGGAUCGAGCUCGUGUCCCGUCGUCGAGGACGAUAAGUCGUCUCGUGGUGGAGAUACGUUGGACGUGCGGAAACACGACGUACCGUUGAGCGGAAAAUCGAUCGUCUCGCGAAACGACGACGCAAUGGGCGGGAAUUCAAACGCGCACAGGAACGAAUUACCAGGAUUACUGCCGUUAUCCACCGCGACGGAUCUCGAUUCUCCGAUGUCGUGCGAGCAAACGAUCGAGGAUCUGCCCGAUUCCGGUUUUGUGAUAUGCGAUAACUCGGACAAGAUAUUUACAAACACGGAAACGUCGCAGAUGAUCUCGAAUACCAACGAUUCUGGCGAGUGGGUGAUAGUGGAGACGACCGGUUCCAUCACGUCACCGACCAGCGAGUCGAGCAGCUCUAAGGAUCCUUUGGAAGGCACCGUGAACAACGCGAUUGCAACGGAUGCGCCGCAGCUAAGAUCGAUAUCGGAAAACGUUUCCAGAACCUCUUUGGAUCUCACGAUGGGUUCAACCGUGGACACGGAUACGUCUUGCAUCGGUGUCAGCGACUUGACCGAAAGUCCCGUUCUUCCCCAGGAAUCGGCCGAAAUGACGUUCGAUGUUGCCGAUAAUAGAGAACUCGAGGAGCACGACGUUGUUAACGCGGUACGAAGAACUUCUAGAGUUUUCGACGAUCAAACGAACUUCGGAGCGGUUGAUUCUGGGAAUAAUUUCUCAAAUAUCGUACAUUCGCCUGUACAAGAUCAGGAUAACGGAAAUCAGAAGUUACGUACCGUUAGUAUGGCUGAUAUUCGUUUAAGUAAAAAAUAUAAUGAAAUGGAGCAUGAAAACAACGCUUGUUACGCGCAAUUAGAUAACGCUAAGGGGUUCAAUAGAAAUGAGAAUCCGACGAAGGAACAAAUUCUCGUGGAAGAGGAAAUUUUUGGAAAUUCUCAACGAUCCUCGAAAAGUCUCGAUUUUCAACAACAAGAAAUUCGACGUUCCUUGCAGUUGCAUCAGAAAUCACAAUUUCAGGCAAGCGAUCGCUGUUCGUUCCCCAAUCAAUCGAAGAAGAGUCAAAAUCUUGAUCUAUCAUUAACCAAUGUCGAUAACAACAAGCAACGUUGUCAAAAUCAAAAAUCAUCGGAAAAGUGCCAAAGUUUUGAAUACGUUUCGCCAAAGGAAUCGACUCAAAACGGUCAACAACAGCACAAACAAUUUUCCUCGCGUGCCGAAGAAUCGUUGAAAUGCAAUAACGUGAAAAACAGCCAGUUACAAGAGCACAUCGAAGUAGUGAUACCGUCGGAGAAUGCUGCAGAGCCCAGCGAGAUAGCUCAUCCUCCAGAAGGUGCGUCCGAGACAACAUCCUUAAACUCGUCGUGUACUUUUUCAAACGCGUCUUCUCCGGUUGACGAUUCUAUCGUUCUUCGAGACACGGCUGCUAUACUUCAAGAAUUAGCGUUGCAAAGGUUAUCUGGAGGUAUUGUGGGAGAUUUAUCCGUCGCACCGAGGAGAAGAUACGAGGCGGAAAGUAACAAGGAUCGAAGAAGCUUCGAUUCUGAAAUCGGUAGGGAAAUUGUACGUGAGCGAAAAAUGAAGCAAGAAUUGGAUUCUGCCCGGGGAAAGUCGGAAGAGCCACCGGUAAAUAAUACUCAACACUUGCCACCGUGUUUGAGAGCUCGUCACGCGAGGGCGACACGAGCGUCGCUCAGUCGAUCUUUGGACGAAGCAAAAUUCAACAAGAUGACGGAGGAGGCGUCUUUACCCGUAAAACAGGUUACAGAGGACGCGCAGCACAGUUCCACGCCUAAUGUUGGUACAGGUUCGAACGCUACGUCGACUAAUUCCGAUAAAACGCAUUUGAAGAAUCUUGGGUUAGAUCUUGGCGAUCCUCAGUGUAGAGAAAGGAUAGAAAAGUACAAAGAAGAAAGGAGGACAUUCUUAAGGGAUAAAUACAGAUCGGAAAGCUUUCGAGGAAUGUUAUCGAAGACGGAGGAUGACGGGGAACAAGCGCUUUUGGCUAGGUUAAAGCAGAGAGCUUCUAGACCCUCCCUUCAUUGAUAUUAAAGUAAUAUUUAUGGAAAUGUUCUGUCAAGUUUUUCCUGCGUUGAAUAAAAUGGCUCUGCAAUCGCGUCGCAUGAUGAACUAUGAUAAUAUACUAUUCCAGUGAUCUAUUCGUUGUACCGAUCAUCGCAUUUAACCCUUUGUUCUCAACGACGAGUUCGAAUUUUAUCGAGUUUGUUGCAUUCGAUGCAUAAAGAGGAGCCUAACUUGAAAUCAAGAUUACUAGAGGACCGAAUAUUUUUUUUAAGGAUAGCAUUGAAAAAUUUUAUCUUACUUAAUUCACCAUAGGAAAGUAUAAUUUAUUGAACUGAUAGAGUUUUAUAUUAAAUUGCAUCACUUUAAUUUAUAUUUCCUUUUGCAUUUGCUUCUUCUUUUUUUUUUUUCUUUCAUUUUUUUCAUCGUAAUUUUUGCCAUUUUCUUUUAGGAAUUGCCGUUCUUGCAAACGAUGAUACAUUAUGGAUUACUUUUUGUUCCCAAUUUAUCAUUGAUUUUUGUCAUAUUUUAUCUCCUCUCGAAUAACUCGCGUUAUCACCACAAUUUAAGAAUUCACCAUUCUAUUAAGAUCCAUUUACAAGGUGAAAAGGAAUCGAAUAUCGUGGACCACGGAUGUUUUAGAAACUUUGGAAAGAUGGUCAAGUCUUUUUCUUCUGAAGAUUCACACGAUCAUGGUUCCCUCUUUUUCCAACAAAUAAGGAAUAAUCCAAACAUCCGUGAAUAAAUUGCCCCUCUUAGGCGUUUUAUGAUAAUAAUUUGUAAUAAUUCAUCAUCGCCAUGAAUCAAUGAACUUAGUAACGAAUCUAUAGAUGUCACAGGUCAUCUCUUUUGAUAUUUCGAUCUCUGCCCGAAUCGAAAAAAAACGAGUCUCGGGGAAUCAUCAAUUUGUGAUCCUGAAAAUGCUCAAAAAAAAAAAAAAAAAAAAAGAGAGAAAAGGAAGAAAAUAUUCAUUAGCAAACGUUCAAAUAUGGGAUAUCAACAGAACCUUUUUUAAUAUAAUUCCAAGAUAAAUGGAAAACCCCCUCAUGCGACCCGAAUAUUUUCUGUAUUUUUUUAUGCUACUACGUGUAAAGUAGUAUAAAAUGUUUAGUGACACGAUUUUUUUGUAAAGCAAACGACGACCAAGCACACAUACUCGAGAUCAUCGAGACACACAUACUUAAAUCCGUUAGUUUAACGAUUUGUAUUUGAAUGUUUAUGAAAAAAGAAAAAGAGAAAAAAAAAUAAGAAGAAAGAAGAAAGAUUAAUAUACUAUUUAAGGGGAAAAUUUAAAAAGAGUACUUGUGAAAGGAUGAAGGAUAUUUUUUUCUUGUUUAUUUUUUUUUUUUUUUUUUUUUUUAAUUGUUAUUUUUUAUUAGAUAUCUUUUUUUUUAGAUAUUACGAUGGCUAUGACGAGUGAGAGGAGGAUAUGUAGACGAGAAAAAUAGGAUGGCGUUUUAGGUAAACGCGACGGGAUUUUCGAAUUAAUAAAAGUUAGCGAUCGAGUAGCGGUGAUAAUUAAUUGGAAACAGUUGAUCAUAUCCCUCGUCAAAUCCAAUCUUUUUUGCUACAAUUUCUCCUGUUUGAUGUACACGUGAUUCGCGUACGAUAAACUUGUUAAAGCGUUCACGAACUAUUAAAAAAAAAACCUAUACGAAGUGUAAACAUUUUCUAUAGCGUGUGUUGAGAAAGACUGCAACAAUUUGCAUUUAAACAUUGCAAAUUGUUCCGGUAGUAUCGUUAUAUUUUUUGCAUUUCUAUCUUCGAAUCGUGAUCAAUUUUUAAACGAGCAUUGGUCAUUCGAAAGGUUGUUAAAAAUUAUUUCUCGAAUAUUUCUAUUGAAGUUGUGUUCUGAAGUUUUCUAAAUUUGAAUUUUUAAUAUUUAAAUUAUUGAAGAUUCAACGUUUCUAAUUUGUUGAGCGAGGUUAAAUAUUGGAGAAAUGAAAUAAAAGAAUAAAGUCGAUAUAAUUAUCAAAGACUCGAAUAUUCAGUGCUCGAUUUUUUAUUUUCAAUAUUUAAUUUAUUGUUAUUUUUUUUUUAUCGAAAACAAGAAGAAAAGGAAAAAGUCGUGAACGCGUAAAUUUCAUAAAAAAAUAUGCAUGCACAAGUAGCUUGUCCCAAUGAGAAAAUAAGAAGAAAUUUAUUUAGAAAUUAAAAAAAAAAAAAAGAAGUAUUUAAAGUGAACUUUAAUAGCUGCUUCCCUGGGUACCAAGUGUAAUAGGAAAGGCCUAGUUAGCGAUAUUUAAAAUAAUGCCUAAAAUAAUAAAGGAAAAAAAAAAAAAAAGAAAAAAAAAGGAAGAGAACUCGAGGAUACAUCUAUUUACGAGUAUACUUCUGCACAAUGUAAUGCGCAAUAACGAUACAUCCGUAGGGGUGUAUAUUUUUAAUAAUUUGAGAUUCUUGCGGUUAUACCGGAUAUAUAAUAGAUAUUAUAUAGUCGUAGGAUUCUGAGAAUGGAAGAGAGAAAAAGGUACGCCUGUUAGAAAUUAAUAUUUCUUACGAGAAAUGACGCAAAGAUAAUUCAGAUAGUCGCAGAAAAAAAAAAAGG